AUCCAGAUGUCAGGCUGGUCCUAUAAAGAAUACCACUGGAAAGUCUCCCAUCUCGGGUCG
rnacentral:pre_miRNA from 1 species